GACAGGCAUGAAGACAUUUAUCGUGUAGAAGAAGAAGAAAGGAUGAUCCAGUGGUUAGGGCAUUAGCCUGGGAUUUGGGAGACCUUCAUUCAAUUCCCUGCUCUGUCACGGACCGUGUGAUGUUGGAUCCAUUUUGUAGUCGUGGAUUGCAGAUUCCUUCCCUGAGAUGUCCAAGCACACACUAUGCUUGCAUUAUCACAACUGUCAUAGACCAGCACAGGACACUGGAGUAAAGCCACAGGAGGACAGGCAAGUAGGAAGGGGUUUUAUUUUUUUUUUAAAUUAUAUGACAUUUGCAAUUAAAAUUAUUUUAUGCCUUUUGAUAACAUGAAAACAAAAACGUUGCAAACUGUAUUUCUUUGCAUUAAAAGCUCAGCCUCCUUCAUAAGGUAAAAAGGUGGAAGUUUGCUUCCUUUCUGACUUAGUCGAUUUCAUUAAAUGUGAAUAUGAGAAGCUGGAAAGGCCACUCAAGAGAGAGUGUGAGAGAAAGCAUCCUAUUCUUUUGCUCCAAGAGAGAAUGAAAGCACUGCAGUGUCUGGAGUUGUAUAAAAUGGAAACCAAGUACGAAAGCUGUCCUGCUAGACCAAUAAAAAUGACUGAGGCAAAAUAGAAUAAUUGAUUUGCUUUACUGAUUGUAAUGUAAAGCAGCAUAUGGCCUUUUCCCACGAGGAAUUAUUUUAAAUAUGUAGCUGGAUUUUUAAUUAGCAACUUAUAUUAACUACUAUUUAUACCACUACAUCAAUGAGCUAUCAGUGUAUGCUUUUCCAAAGUGUUUGUAUAAGGAAUUACAUAUGGUAAUAAAAGGCAAAAGGGAGAUGCAGUUUUGAGGAAAGAUCUGGAUAACCAUGCUCUAUUACUAAGUAUUUCUGGAAAAGGAUGAAAAGGAAUUGAGUACAGAGAACAACAAAGUUGGCAAACAUCCAGACAGGGAAGUAAGGGAUAGUCUGGAUGGAUAACUGGUGGAACAUUACCAUUUAUGUUGACACACACUUCUGAUGUUGAUGGAAGCAUGGAAAAGGGCAAUUUACCAUACUCUUUGAUGGGGAGAAAUAUCACCAGAGGGAAAAAUGCAAAACUGCAAAAUAUUUCUGGUGAGACAGCUAGAUUUUUCCCUUGAAAACUUGUUAGCUUUAAGGGGGUUGAGGAGAGAAAAAGCAUACUAUUAAUUAUUCUCCUAGAUUUUUAAAAGACAAGUUUGACCUUGAUCCUGCACAUACUUUAAUACGUGAGUACCAAUGUUGGCUUCAGUGAGACUAUGUGUGCUUAAAAACUUAAGCAUGUGUGUGUUUGCAUUAGGGCUAGAGGAUACAAUUUAAAGUAUCCAAGGGGCAUUUCAUUUUGCAAAGGGGACCAAUAUGUACUGAGACACAAAUGAGAGUUCUAUGACUGAGUGAGGAAAGUUGUAAAUGCAACUUUUUUUGUGUGCCCAACAUUGUAAUAUAUGCAGGAAAAUUCAAAGCCAACCCAUUCCUGCAGUGACAAGUAACGAGUAACCACUCUAGCUAUAGUUGCAAUAGAAGAAAUCAGAUACUUCAUACGUUGAUUAAAGUGUGACACUUAUUCCAUCAGCAUACCACGUGCAUGCUAGCAAAGGAAAAAAUAUUGAAAGAGAAAAUAAAAACUCUGUCUACUGUUAGUUAAGUGAGGUCCUGUAGUUGUAAGAUGUCAUUAUAUACUUGAUGCAGGAACUGACAACAUUCAAACCCCACGGCAAUAUUCAGUUAAGACAUUUAAACUGAGGCUCGUUUACCAUGGCAAAACCUAUAACUCUUAAGUAAGAUCAGUACUGACAUAAUUAAGGCUUUGCUGCUGCGCCGCCAAUGAGAUACAUGAGAAAUUUCAGAUGAAGAAUGCAUAUUGUAAUGGAACUGAGAAUUUUAACAAGGCAGAAUCAAUAUUAGUAACGUAAACAGUAAGUUUUAAUUCUUCUUGGUCCCAGGAUAUUAGAGACACAAGGCGGGUGAGAUAUUUUAUUGAACCAACUUCUGUUGGUGAAAGCAACAAGGUUUUGAGCUUACACAGAGCUAUUCUUCAGAUAUUACCUCUGCCACCUUGUCUCUCCAAGCUUUAAUUCUGACAGAGAUUAAGUCACUCAAAUCAACCCAAGAUUUCAUUCAAUAGAGCAGCAUUGGUUUGCUUGGAGCUUUACUGUCAUGCUGUAGGAUUCUAUAGGCUGGAGAGAAACAGAUCCAGUGUUCACAUUCAGAGAAAUUAUUCCUUUAGGCUCCAAAUCAGUUAGGUACAUAAGCAUGUGAGUAGUCCUCCGGACAUGAAUUAUAGCUUUAAUUAGGAAUUUUAGUAAUUACAAUUAGGAGGGUUUUUGUUUUUAAAUGAGAGCUUCAACAGCAGGUGGUUUGCAUUUCUCUUUCUUGAAGUUCCUCUUUAAAUACAUCAUUACAUGAGAAAAAACAAAGUCCAAUUCAGUGCAACAUUAAGGCCGCGCAGGCAGUCAGUAAAAGGCAAAAAAUGAAAUAAGGUUCCAACAGUAACUUUAACUUGGCUUCAUUACACUACUGUAUGCCUUACGAGAUACAUCUUUUUACAUCAUACAAUAUUAUACAUAACUGGAAAAUAGUCAUAAAAUAGAAUACAGAUACAAAGUAGCUAUGUUCAUGUUGUUUUUGGAACCUUAAAUUCUGCACUUCCCGACUUUAGGUGACUUUAAUGCACUGUUAAGGUUGUUUGCUUAAUUUUUUUUUUCCACUUUAUUUCUGAGUUUUUUCUAAAGAAAAGAAAAAAAUCUAAGGUAGGGCUAAUGCUUAAGUUGUUAAUGUAUGCUGACAUCUAUAAACUCUUUCAAGAGCUUAAGCCACAUAUAAUAGAGUUUAAUCUGAAAACAACUGGUCUAAAGCUUGCAUUGUGAGGUUGCAUGUUUGUUUCUCAAUAACUCAUGUAAAAUUUGCUCAGUUUACAAGAUCUUUUUUUUUUUUUUUUAAAAUCCAGCCCUCCCCUCUGAAAUCCUGCAAGGCUUGCAAACUCAACCUGGGAUCUGAAAGUCAAGCUGUUUCCUUUCCAUCUUGUUAACUAUGGUCAAUAAUGAAUGGUGCAGAACAAUUUCUGUCCUCUGUUACACAUGUGCAACUCCAAUGUUAACUUCUACUUUCUUUCAGCCUUGACAAAUUCCUUUGACCUCAACUGGGUGAGACUAUAAUCUUGCAACUCUCACUUAACAAUUCUCUUGAUUAUGCCCCAAGCCAGUAUGGAAUCCAGCCAAUUCUUCUAUAGCUCUGGUGAUUCUGCAGUAUUGACAGGAAUAAAAAGUACUAAAGGUUUAUCUUACUAAAAUAAGUAGAUAUUACAGAAAAAGACAUGGAGCAAGUCUGUUGAGUAAGAGGACAAUUUUUACAGAGUUACUCUUGAGACUAGAACCUCAUGUUAGGGGCAUCUGUCCCUCAAUAUACAUUGAAAAGUGUACGUGUAAAACAAAACAACUCUGCACUUAAAAACAAAACAAAAAAUAUGCAUGCAAGGUGUUAUAACCUUAAAUAUAGCACACAUCUAGUGCUUGUUAUCAAUUUUUAUGUUCAUUAUAUAAUGAAAACAGAAUGCAGGUGAUUUGCAAUUUAGACUAGAUUUUUGCAUGUAAUUAAUAUGACUGGAUAAGAGUUUUUUCUGUAUCCAAUUUUGCACGUGCAACUGCUUGUGUGCACUUCUAAAAAUGUGGGCCUAAAUAUUUUCUAAAAUGCUAAUGUACAUGUAUUGUAAAUUCCUUUUAAUUGGCUUGCAGAGUAACGUGGCAACAAUUCAUUGUUUACAUUACUUCCGUAUAUGUAUCACUUAAAUCAAAGGACUGGUAACUAGAAGAAAAAGGGUUGACAGAGGAAGAAGAAACUGUAUGCUUUUUUGUUUUUAUUUUGAAUCCAUUUUGUAACUUAAGCUGUAUACCCUUAUUGUUAUGACAUCGAGGAAAAAGUGUGCUCCUGUAUAAAACAACACAUCCUGCUAAAAACUUUUAAUGCAACAAUUCAUGGUAAAUUUGGCCACUGUAAAUCACAUUUGACGUUUUCAGUCUAUCUUCAGAAAAAGGCUUUCCUACAGAAAAAUGUCCUAAGGUUGUAUAGUAAAUAUUAACCUGAGCAACUAAGGAGUACAGAGAAUAGUUAUUUUAGAAAGGUCUCGCUGACAAGAAAAUGGUUAAACUGUAGUGCUGGAAUGUUAGCAACAUUUUCAUAUAUUUCAAAUAAACACUCAAGACUAUGGAAUAUAUUAGAAAACACUCAGACUUUUCUUUCAGGCUAAUGGAAAAUAGGAAUGCAACAAUUUUUUCCAUGAGACAGAGCAAUUGGUUGGCUACACUUUAGCUUUCUUCAGUUAUAAAACUACUGCUUAUAAAGAGGAAAAAAAGCCCCUUGAAAUUAAUGACUAAUACUGAUAAUGACUGGCUUAUUCAGUGCUAAUUGCUUGGGAAUCCUCCAGUGGAAACUACAAUAAUUAAAGAGAUUGCUGCCUAAAUCAUUUCCAGGUGCAGUAAAAUUCACUAGUACAAGUAUUCCCGUCCUUAUUUUUGAGAAAGUUAUGGUGCAACCUAAACUUUUCCACUGUCCUGCAUACAAAAUUAACAAAAGAAGUCUUAUUACAAUAAUGUAAUAUUUAGUUCUGCACAGACUUUAAAAUUGGGUACUAAGGGUGAAAUCCUGGCCCUAAUGAAGGCAAUGGGAGUUUUAUCAUUGAGUUCAGUGGGGCCAGAAUUUCACUUUAAAUAUUUUAAUUUUAUUAAAAAGAAACAAAAUUCCAUUUAUCCAGCACAAUAGGUAGAUAGUUGUUUUUACUCUCUGUAUUUCAAGAGGCUUAUUUUUAUCCAAAUUUCCUAAAUGAUGGGUGGUACAUAUAUGUCAACAAGUAUUGCGCAUUUUAGUAAAGAAAUCAAGAAGAUUCUCAAUGGUUUUAAACUGCAUGUUAGCAAGGUGAGAAACCUCCACAGGAUUUAUUUUGCAAAAGAUAAGAUUGCCUGAGGGCAUCUACAAGCUCUUUGCAGCAGGAAUGGUGAUCACUUACCCUAGGAAAAUAAAUGAAAGCAGCUAUGCAGGCUUGGACAAGGCUAUAGGAUACAAUUAACGAGCAAUUACGUUAGGGAGGGUGCUAUGUAGAUGCUCAGAAUCAGAUAUCACAGGUUAAAGCUGGUAUUUUUGUGGAAAAACGUAUUAAAAAAAGCUAACAUUAAAAACCAAACAAACCCUGAAAACACCCCUUACUGGUGAGGAAGCACUGUCUAGUAAUUAGAGGAUGGGACUACAAUUCAAUAACUCCAUCUCUUAUUCCCACUUCUGCCACUGAAUAGCACGGAAACCUUAGAACAAAGGCUAGAGUCAGAGAAAUUGUCUACUUUGCAAUUAAAAACCCAUGGCUGGCCCCUGCCAACUAGCUUGGGCUUACGAGACUGUUUAAUUGUGGUGUAGACAUUUGGGCUCAGGUUGGAGCCCAGGCUCUGGGACCUGCGAAGGGAAAGACCAGCCAAGGGUGUUUAACUGCAGUGGGUCUUAGGCAUGUAACUGCCUCUUUAAAAACUGCAGCUAGGUGACCACAGAUUGAGGAUUUUGUGCAUGUCUUAUGGGAGGCCCAAUUUCAAAUCCCUCUCCUGCCCAACUGAAGCAGGGACUUGAACCUAACUCUACCACAUCCCAGGUGAGUUCCCUAAGCACUGGGCUAUAGAGUCACUCACUCUCUCUGGCCCAAUUAUUUAUAGAAAGUGGAAAAAAGUUUCACCAAUGCCAAAAGCCUAUCCAUUAGUGUGCUCAGCUGGGAGGUGGAGAUCUGGGAUCACACAGAGGAAGGAAUUUGAAAAUGUCUCCCACAUCCCAGGUAAGUGCCCUAAACACUAGGCUACUGGAUGGACACGCACAGAAUUCCAAAGCUAUCUUUUGUGCAGAACCCCAAUCCUGUAAGCAUGCUCAGAGAAUACCUUUGAAAUUGGAUCCUGCCUGUAAGAGACAAGGGAAUGCCUAGUUUGAGAAUGCCACUGGGGCUUAGACAUGAGCUAGGGCUCUGAGCAGUUCGUUUCCUGUGAGAUUUAGGAAGACUUGUGCCUGCCUACUGGCAGAAAUGUAUGCACUAUGGGGACUUUAGGCACCUGCACGGUUAGGUGGCAGCUAAGAAGCGAUUUUGAGAAUUUCAGUGGCACCUAAAUGUUGGACUUAAGUACCUAAAGAGGCAGCUAGGCACCUAAGUAUCUUUGUGGAUCUAGCCCCUACCCUUUCUGCUUCCCCAUCUGUAAAAUGGUGGAAUAGGAUUGACCAGUCUUAUGCUUAUGCUGAUGCUUAAAGUAUUAAAACAUUCUGGCUACCUUUGGAUGAAAGGUUAUAUACAUAAAGUGAAUUUAUAGUUAGAGAAUGUAAGGGUAAGAGAUUAAAACUAUUUCUAGUGCUACACAGGAUUUCCCCCUCAUUUGUGAGAACCUUUGAUAUUAUUCUUCUGGCACUAGCUAGCUAAAGGUGGCAAAAAAUCAUUGCUUUGAGAUUAUUGAUUCUACUUUUGCAUCUUAGGGAACAAAUUCCAUAGUUCAUCACUCAUUCACAGGGGAGAAGUACCUCAUACAAGAUCUUAAAUCUGUAAUUCAUGGAGGAACAAAGACAUUGGUAGCCCACGUGCCUGAGAUAUCUCCUCUAGUAGAUGGUUUGCUCAAGGGGUGCUUUCCGAGUAUCAACUGAAGAACUAAACUAAUGUUUCUUGACCAUAGUCAGCUUACCUAAUUGGUGCUACUAAAGAAAAAAAAUAUAUAUGUAUCUGAACACAGGAGUAAAUUACUCCUUCAUGGCAGGUGCUGAAGGCUUCUGGCAAUGGACCAGUGUGGUUUGACCAUGCAAGGGAAGGCAAAAUAUUUCAGGUAGUAAGAGAGCCAGCAUGGAACAUGCUCACUCUGCAUCCAGCUCAGCUUUGUGGAGAUGCUUUCGUGCAAGCUAAUGAAGGAAUGGGGACCUCACACGCCACUUGGUUGGAGUAGCCGCCAGAGAGCAAAUUAACAGCUUGGUGGUGGAAAAGUCUUCUUCCCUCUUGAUCUACUCCAGCUCCCUUGCCUCUGGUGACCAAUCUGUAUGGCUUAAGCAGCAAGAACCUGAGCCAUAUAAGAAUCUUCCAAAUGGAGAACUGAGAGAGCAGUUCAUUUUCUGUCACGGCCUACUAGCAUGGAGGUCAAGUAGACCAGACAGGGAAUCAGAAAUGGUGUGCUUGCUUGUGGUUAAGGGGGUUGUGUGCUGUAACAAAAGUUCCCUGGAAGAACUGGAUCCUAUAUGAAUUUAAAAGCCUAAGUGCUUUAACCACCACCCUCCUGCCCAAAAUAACCCCCCCACCAAACUGUAUACUUCUAAUGGAGAAGUAUAGCUGAUGUUCAAGUUCUCUUGCCCACAAUGUUAAUGAUAUAACAAUAUAUGGUCAAGAUAUGAUGUUUUGCUUAAUACAAUUAAUAUUUCAACAACAACAGGGAGUCCGGUGGCACCUUAAAGACUAAACAGAUUUAUUUGGGCAUAAGCUUUCGUGGGUAAAAAACCCACUUCUUCAGUUCAGAUCUUCAGUUCAUGCAUCCGAUGAAGUGAACUGUAGCUCACGAAAGCUUAUGCUCAAAUAAAUUUGUUAGUCUCUAACGUGCCACAAGUACUCCUUUUCUUUUUGCGAAUACAGACUAACACGGCUGCUACUCUGAAAUGAAUCAUGUAAUUAUGUUACUCAUUCUUGAAGAGGCAGAUUUUUUUCAGCCCAUUCAUCUAGCUGAAUGGCCUUCACAUCAAGCAUGUUAAACCUCUACUAUAGGCGUCCUUAAUGCAUGAAGUAGUCAGUUAGCUCUGGAGGCUUAGAUGAUUUCACUUGUAUUAUAUUUUGAAACAAAUUUUUUUUUCAGGUUGAACUUUCAUUCUAAUUGAAUCUGAAUUUUAAAGCUUCUCUUUAUCAGAAGAAAGGGGAGAACAAAGUGAGGGUAAGCAGAUGUUCUUGUUUAUACAUUGUUUUUACAGAAUGAACUCUGGGAUUGGUUUGAUCUCUACCUUGUCACUGAAUUGAUGAAAGGAAAUUUGCAUCAAAGAACUACUAAUUGCUCCAAACCCUCUGCUUAGGAAUGAAUAUCAUGAAUGCUACUUGCCAGGACAAAAACUGUAGAGACAGCAGAGAAACAGUAGCUAAAGACUCAAAAAGAGGAGGGCCCAUUCCAUUAACAACUUUACGUUCCAUGGAAUAUUGAUCAAUCUUAGUUUAUUUUAAAUGCUAUCCUGAAUAACAUCUUAAGAGCUAGAUGGGUAAAAUAGUGAAAUAGGAGAACCGUAAAGGUGGGUUUUAUUACAGCCAAAUGCAAGGCCAUAUCUAGGAACAAAGAAUGUAUGUCACAUAAGACAGGAGUCAGUAUCCUGCAGUGGAGUGACACUGAAAAGGAUUCAGGAGUUAUGACAGAUAAUAAACUGACCAUGAGUUACCAGUGUGAUGCUGUGACUAAGAGAGUGAAUAUGAUGCUUGGAUACAUAAGCAGAGAAAUGUCAAAUAGGAGUAUGGAGGUGACAUUUACCUUAGCAUUAGUAUGCCGCAAUGGUGAGAUCAUUACUGGAAUAAUGGGUCUAGUUCUGGUGUCCACAUCUCAAAAGAAAUGUUAAAAAAUGGGAGGAUGUUUAGGAAAAAAAGCUCCAAGAAUGAUUUGAGGUCUGGAAAAUAUGCAUCAGUGAGACUUAAGAACCUCUAUUUAGGUAACUGAAAAGAAGGUUAAGGGAUAAACUUGAUCACCAUCUACGGGCUUGUCUACACUUACGUUUUACAGCGCUCUAACUUGCUGGCUCAGGUGGGUGAAAAAUCACUCCCGAGCACAGCAAGUCAGAGCGCUCUAAAGUGCUAGUGUAAACAGGCUCCAAGCGCUGGGAGCCAGGCUCCCAGCACUUGGAGCUAAUCCCCUCGUGGAGGUGGAUUACCAAGAGCGCCGGGAGAGAGCGUCUCCCAGCGCUUGCGCGCGACCACACUUGCACUUCAAAGCGCUCCCGCGACAGUGUAGCCAUGCCCUACAAGUACCUACACAGGGAGGAGGUUUCUGAUAGUAGAUGGCUCUUUCAUCUAGCAGAAAAAUGUAUAACAUGAUCCAAUGGUUGAAAUCUGAAGCUAGACAAAUUCAGGCUAGAAAUAAGGUGCAAAUUUUUAACAGUGAAGGUAACUGACUGCAACACCUUCAGAUGGGAUGGUGGCUUCUAUAUCACUUGAAAUCUUUAAAUGAAGACUGGAUAUCUCCCCUAAAAGAUAUGGAUACAAAUCAUUAAAACAUUUUUAUUGUUAGAAAAACAUUUACAUAGUCUAGAUUUAGGCCUUAAAUUGAAAGUGAUCCUCUCAAGAUUACUGCCUACUUUCUUAGUUUAGUGAAUGUAAUGUAUAAAGAACAAGCCUAGCAAUAUCUGCAGCCAAGGAAUAUGCUAAUUCAGAAUAAUUUAUAUUGGAAUGGAAUCCCAGCUCAGCCGCUGUUUCUAUCAUUGACAGUACUCAGUACAUAAUUUGUUUUUGGAGGUUAAAUGUUCUACAGGUAAAAGAGCCCAUCCAGCACUCUUUACUGAAUUACAUGAGUUCAUUUUGAAGUAAAUGGAAAACUCUGCUUGAAUAAGCAGCACACGACAAAGCUGAAAUUUUAAAACAGGAAAAGUACUAUUAUACUAAGAUGCCACUAUCACACUUUAGCUGAGUUAAUUUGUACUUAAGGCAGCAAUUAAACCUCUUUCUUGUGUAUAAAUAAGAUAGUUGAUCCUUCCCUAUCUUGCAACACUAUCCGGCUUUAAGAUUAGACUCGAUAAGUUUAUGGAGGAGAUGGUAUAACAUGAUUUUGGCAAUUAAUUGAUCUUUAAAAAUUCAUAGUAAAUAGGCCCAAUGGCCUGUGAUGGGUUGUUAGAUGGGGUGGGACCUGAGUUACCACAGAAAAUUCUUUCCUGGGUAUCUGGCUGGUGAAUCUUGCCCACAUGCUCAGGGUUUAGCUGAUGGCAAUAUUUGGGGUCGGGAAGGAAUUUUCCUCCAGGACAGAUUGGAAGAGGCCCUGGAGGUUUUUCGCCUUCCUCGGUAGCAUGGGGCACAGGAAACUUGCUGGAGGAUUCUCUGCUCCUUGAAGUCUUUAAACCAUGAUUUGAGGACUUCAAUAGCUCAGACAUAGGUGAAAGGUUUUUCGCAGUAGUGGGUGGGUGAGAUUGUGUGGCCUGUGUUGUGCAGGAGGUCAGAUUGGAUGAUCAUAAUGGUCCCUUCUGACCUUAGUAUCUAUGAAUAAUUUUUCUGCAGUUACAAGUAAAUCUGGUAAUUUGAGGAACUGAAACAUUUAAAAGUUACCCCUUUUGGGAGUGGGGGGGAAGGAUAGUCUAACCUUUUUGAACUCUAAGUGGGAUUUUUGGUGCUUGAAAGUUGAAUAUUGACUAGUAGAUUCUAAAAUAAGGAAAUAUAAGCUGUUGCUUCAAGUUGUAGUCAUAGCCAUUUUCCAUAUACAGCAAAUAUUACAGUGUACAACUGGUUUUAACUUUAUCAUGCCACUAUUCAAUGUAAAAUAAAAUACUCAAUCCAUUAUUUUUGCUGAAGAGACCAUAAAAUAAAUCUGAUGGUUUCAAUUUAGGAGAAGCAGAGAAAACAUUCAUCAUCCAAAAGGACAGCCUUACAGCUGUCAGUUAUAAAGUUCACUACAUCAGUUGAACUGUCAGCAAGGAGCAGCUCCUAGAACUUGUCUCAGACUGUGGGAAGUCCGUAGAACUCCAUGCCUCUGUGGUAAUCUGCAUGCCUCCAUAGUGUUUUAGUACAUGAGCCGCUCUCCUGGCUGCUUUACAAGCCUUGUGAAAACCCCUUUGGCUAGUGAUCCCUGUAUUACUACCUCCUCCCUCCCUAAAAAGCUAGAAUUCAAUUUCUAGGACAAGAUUUUCAAAAGCACUUGUAUCAGCCUAAUUCUGCUCCCAUUAAAGUAUACAGUAAAAUUUCUAUUGACUUUAUUAGGAGCAGAGUUAGGCCAAUGUAUGUUGUUUUGAAAAUCUCACCUCUGAACUGUAACAGCAGAAAUCUGUAUAUUCGUGCAAAAGUUUCAAAAACUACCAACAACAAUUUAUAUCAGUAUAAAAUGUGUGCUUAUAGAUUGCAUGAACAUUGACAGGCAAUGCAGGAGUCACCUGCCUAGGACCUACUGCAGGGGAAGAAAAUUGGCCAAAGAUUUCAGGAGUGGAGUUAGUCAGGACUAGGGAAACAAUUAACUGCUUUAACCACCACCCUCCUGCCCAAAAUAAACCCCCCACCAAACUGUAUACUUCUAGUGGAGAAGUCUAGCUGAUGUUCAAGUUCUCUUGCCCACAAUGUUAAUGAUAUAACAAUAUAUGGUCAAGAUAUGAUGUUUUGCUUAAUACAGUUCUGCAUCAAGAUGCCCCAACCCCAUUUCCAACCCUUGGACUUCUGCUUCCACAUUUACGUUAAAAAAAAAAAAAGCAAAUAUUAGUGAAAUGUAUAUUCAUAACAAAAAUUACAUGCAAAAAUUAAGGUCAGGCAAUUUUGUGUACACUGAGGGCAAGAAUAUUGCUAAAUUGAAAGCAAGUUGGUGAUUUAAAAGCUGAUUUUUAUUCUGGGAGCGGACUGGAGAAUGAUAUUGGGCAUGAAUGUUGCUAUAGUUUAAGAUUUCCUUGCCUUAGUGGUCAUGUUGUAAGAAAACAAACUAAACUGGCCUACCUUAACUAAAGUAACUGAGUUUGUGAGAAUUAUACAUAAACAAAAAAAAAAGGGCAUAAAAUCCAAAAAAUGAUUCUUUAUAAUACAGUGGACCCCUCCACUCCCAAAGGCAGCAUGAGAGGGAGUUAGGAGAAAGCAGAACAGGACUGACUUAAAUAUACAUUUGGAGAAAGACUGUCAGUUUAAUUUGAUUCUAGGCAGCCCUAUUUAAUACAAAACAUUUCGAAGAUCAUGAAUUUGAAUUCAGAACUAUUGAAAUAUAAGAGAAAAAGCUAGCUAGCUAAUUGUGUUUAAACACAGGUGAGUGGCACAACUUCCAAACCUAGAUCCCAGGGAAUUACACACAUGCUUAUGAUUAACUCAUAUAAGUAAUCCCUUUGGAGGUCAGUGAGUCUAAAGUGUGUGUGCUUAACUUCUUUACACAUGUGAAGCCUUUUCAGAAUCAAGGCCUUAAGACUAUUAUUAGGGGGGAAAACAACUUCAGAUAGCCAUGUUGAGUGUUUAAGUGUCCCCCAAAAUUAUAACUGACAAGAAGUUUUGUAUAUUCUUUCUCAUUUCCUUCUACAGGGUAUCCUUUAUUAAAAAAAAAAUAGAAUCAGAUCGGUGCUUCACUCUGCUGCCCAUGUAUUUUCCCCCUUUGCAAAGUGUCAACAUUUUAAAUAAGUGCUAAACUGAAUACCUCUUAUAUCAGUGGUGGGGAACCUGCGGCCCGUCAGGGUAAUCUGCUGGCAGGCCACCAGACAGUUUGUUUGCAUUUGCACGGCCGCCCGCAGCUCCCAGUGGCUGUGGUUUGCCGUUCCUGGCCAAUGGGAGCUGCGGGAAGGGGUGGCCAGCGUGUCCCUGGCCACAGGUUGCCCACCACUGUCUUAUAUCAUAUAGUUAAUAUAUUUCAUUACUCACCCAUGGUUAAACAGUAACUUUGACAGAAAGAAGAGUAAAUUAAUAGACACUUUCUGAUGAUCCCACAAUGAACAUGAAAUGAAUUCAACAUUGCAAAUUGCUUAACAUUUUGGGUUCUACUUUAACAAGUUUAUUAAUAAAAUGUAACCCAAAAUAAUGACAAGUGAAGAAUAUCCUAAAAA